CGGGGGCGUAGGCACUAAUAACGUUCACAGUAGACCCUCCCAUGACCAACUUAAUAGACAUCAGUCUAUUACUAACUCUCUUUACCUCUACCACUUGCUCCCUAAGAUCCUUAUCUACUAAGAUACCUACCCCAUUUCUAUGUCUCACGCUACCCGAGUGCCACAACUUAUAUCUAUCCACAUCUCUCGCUUUAUUGCCUACCUAUUUAGUUUCCUGGACACACGC
rnacentral:lncRNA from 1 species